CGGGGCUUCCCAGUCACAGGACUUGUUGCUCUGUCAGGAACUCACGCCCGGCCUAGAAGAGCUGGGUGCGCUUGGAGCAGGAAGCGCCCAGACCCCACCAGGCCUUCGGCUGCGGAGCCCGGCGCCCACUGGGGUGGGGCAGGCACAGGCGCUCCCUGGGGCUUCCUCGUCCCACCCACGCGGGUCGCCUUUUCCGCGCAGGGUGCAGUGGAGACGUCACCCGCCCGCCCUCGGGCAUCGGUAGCUCCGCGCCUCUGUCCCAGCACAGAAGAGCCCUCGAGCGCCGGCCUGGUCCCGUCAGGCCCCACCAGGGCCGGAGCAAGGACGGGCGCCGAGUCUCGAGGCCGGGACCGGGGCUGGGCCGACGAGGUCGCCCAGUCGAGGGUGCCUCGCGUGGGGCUGUGGCGGGCCUUCGCUGACACCUCCUCCUCACGCUGACUUUGCGAAGGGAGAGGAAAUUCACUCUGCGGAGGUGAUUCGCCUUUGAGGAAGAUGGAGAGGAGCAGGGAGAAGCGCCUAGAAACGGCAUUGAUUUAGACAUCAAUCCUGGCCGGCUCCCUCCGCCUCCAGAGCUGCGGGGCCGCGCAGCCCCUCCCAGGGAAGCGGCAGCACCGGCUUCAGGGCCGCCCACCUCGGCGGCCCCGACGCCGGCCCCACCCGCAGGCCCGGGUCUGCGCGGACGCCGCCGCCUCGAGGCCAACAGGUCUCCCCGGGCCGCAGCGCACCCCGACCCUCGGAGCUCCGCUUCUUUCGACCGGCCCGGUGCUGGUUCUUCUGGGCCGUGGGCACCGAGUCGUGCUGUUGGAACCACUACGAAACCUCACGCUUACGAACCCCGCGGGCCCGGCACGUUCGCGAGCAAAUUCAAAAUGCCCAAAAGUGACACCGAGGCGAUUUCCCAAUAAUAAAAUGCUCCCCGAAUAAACUCAACGCGCUCUAUGACUUUUGAUCGAGAUUCCGUGGGAAGAUCAAUUCUCACUUGGUUCUUUCAUUUCUUUCGGAACUGACACUCGAGAAAUCUAAAAAAAAAUAAGCGACUUUUAAAAACUGAUCUGAGUCAUAUAAAUAUUUUAAACGCCUCGAUUGGUUUUGUUAGUUUUCAACU
rnacentral:lncRNA from 1 species